GGAGGUACGUACUGCAUGCUUGACGCUCUUGAAAACCGUCGUGGCAGCGAUGUCACCGUGGGUUCAAAUCCCACCGCCUCCG
rnacentral:tRNA from 1 species